rnacentral:rRNA from 1 species
GACGAGGGAUCCUAGCGCUGUUCGGAAUUAUUGGGCGUAAAGCGGGUGUAGGUGGCUAUGUAAGUCAAGUGUGAAAGCCUGGGGCUCAACCCCAGAAGUGCAUUUGAUACUGCGUAGCUUGAGUGCUAGAGAGGAUAGUAGAAUUGUUGGUGUAGUGGUGAAAUACGUAGAUAUCAACAGGAAUACCGGUGGCGAAGGCGGCUAUCUGGCUAAGCACUGACACUCAGACCCGAAAGCGUGGGGAUCAAACAGG